AACACUUCCACAAACUCUCUCUCUAAAAAGGUUUAUACUGUCUCUAAGUGCUGAGCGAGUUGUGCUAAAGGCUGACUUAGUAAACCACAAGGGUGAAAGUUGCUAAGACCGCAUGUCCCGAUUGCUGUGAAGAAAUCAGUCGGUGACAGGGUGCUUAAUAUAGCAGUUUAAGAAUUGGUAGACAAAAAGGGGGAAAAAGGGGGAAAAUUUAUCCGUCUCUCUCUUCGAUGUUUUUUUUUUCUGAGAAAUCUCUUCGUCGAUCCGCGAUGGCUGCUAUGUUCUCCUCCAAAUCUGUCCAUGAAAUCCACCGUGAAGGAGUUUGCUUUCAGAAGGUAAGCUCGAGAAGAAAGCUAGAAAAUUUGCCAAGAAGAAUCUUUAGACUGUUGAGAAGAAGAACAUGAAGCAAAAGCCCUUUCUCAAACGCAAAGUUGCUAAAAGAAAAUGACGUUGGAUCAGAGCCAGGAGCUGAAGCCUUUGGUGAUCACCAAGUCGCUUGUGGCUAAGGACGAGGAUGUGGAUUUGGGAUCUGGGAUGAGUAGAGUCUCUAUCUUCUUUGGUACUCAGACUGAACCGCUGAAGGGUUUGCUAAGCUAGAAGCAAGCGAAUCAAGAUCAUCGUUGCUAGCGGUAUCAGCCUCUGCGUGUUUAUAAUCUUAGUGCUUGCAGCAUUUGUGUGUUGGAGAUACAGAUUCAAACAAAAUGGUGAGACUCUUUUGUCUCUCUUUUGUUGUCUAUUCAUACGUAGAUGUAUGGCCAAUUCUUAGAUGUGUUUCCACGUUUUCUUUAUAAGUUAAAACUAUGACUAUAAGCUAAGAACAACCACAUUGUGCUUCUCUCUUAUUUUUUUCCGCAGUUUAAAGAUUUUGUUUCUCUUACCA